GACGAACGCUGGCGGCGUGCCUAAUACAUGCAAGUCGAACGCAGUGGGGACGGGUGAGUAACACGUGGGUAACCUCCCAUCAGAGGGGAUAACACUUGGAAACAGGUGCUAAACCGCUACUGGUGUAUGAACCCGCGGUGCAUUAGCUAGUUGGAGGGGGAACGGCUCACCAAGGCCACGAUGCCUAGCCGACCUGAGAGGAUGAUCGGCCACACUGGGACUGAGACACGGCCCAGACUCCUACGGGAGGCAGCAGUAGGGAAUCUUGGGCAAUGGACGAAAGCCUGACCGAGCAACGCCGCGUGAGUGAAGAAGGUUUUCGGAUCGUAAAACUCUGUUGUUAGAGAAGCGGUAUCUAAACAGAAAGCAACGGCUAACUACGUGCCAGCAGCCGCGGUAAUAC
rnacentral:rRNA from 1 species